CGACGCGCGUGAAGGACAGCGCCGGAGGAGAGCAACGUUGUGGUGAUCGGUGGCGGGUAACGGCGGCAACCCACCUGCAACAGCAGCCACCUAAACCAUCAAAGCAGAAAGCACAUAGGAAACUCCCCCAGGUGAUUAUGGAUGAUAAUCAGAUAAUGAUCCCGGGAAAUAUGUAUCAAACAUGGCUGAAGGACACAUCUAACCUUGUCUCAAAAAGGCGUAAAGUUAACACUCUUACUUGCAGAAUUUUGGUUUUAUUCAAUCAACCAAGAUAAGUGAUCUCAUGGACAUGCCCCCGGUUGCUCUAAUAUCUUUCUCGGCCUGAUGGAGAAUAUGAGAUGGAAACAGGAGCUUACCGAAUGGACUUCACAGAUGGCCUUGAGUGCAGAGUAUGACAGCGCUUAUGAUACUUUGCUUAGUGACCAUAGUGUUGCCAUUGGAUCCAGAAGUGCAAAUGCCAUCAGGAAGUGGAAGGUCCAAGAGGCAACAUUCAUCUGGAAGAAGCUUGGGGAAUCUUGAUCCAGUUGAUGAAGACUUUCCACUGGAGCAAGAAGUGAGGGACCUCAAGAUGAGAAGGCUUUCAGAUUUUGGGCAAACUCCUGACCUUCUGGAAGAAACUGAACCGACUCAAACCCCAUAUGAGAAGCGCUCUGAUCCUAUCAACAAGGUCAUAGAAUCAAUCUAGUCCUGUUGACUAUGCUGUCAGUGUUCUUGCAGUUGUCAGAAGAUACGUUGGAUAAAGCUUUGUCAGGUAGUGACGGCGCACCAGACUGCCGACGGCUCCAAAACCAAGCAACAUUCGACGACGACCACAAGCCUAGCCACUGCAGCGUCAGCAGUAUUCCAUUUGUAUAAUUUUUUCAAAAUAAGGCCUUAUUGAUUCUAAUUAUUUUUCUGGUUCAUUUGCAACUCUUUGAUUGGAUAAAAACAAGCUCUCAGAAUCGGAAAAUAUGAGCAAGGCCCUUUGUAAAGAUAUUAGUAAACACUGUUUGUCCACAAGGUAUGUCAUAUCAGGGUGGUGACUUCUUGAAGGUUUGUCUCAUUCACCAAUCAACAAGCAUGAAAUUUUCUUUUUAUAUUUGUUCUGGCAUUUAUUCCUUGACCCUGAUAAGUGUCAGCGAGCAGUGUUCCUUUUCUUUUGGUUAUUCUUGUGCCUGAAAAUUGAGCUUACUAUUGCAGUAACUUCUUAGUUCAGUCCAAAAUUGAUUGUUACAAAUGGAAUUUUCUAUUAGAUGAACAUGCAUUAAAAUCUGGCUGACAUGACACCUCUAGAAGAAAACUAUAAUGGAUCAUCAGGAGCAGCUCAUGUAUUUCUUCCACAUGGAAUUGUGGAUGCGUUACCUCAGGCAGCCUGUGAUUCACUCACGAAGCACCUGCACUUGGAUAGCUUCUUGCACUCAAGUUUGGCAGUACUCUGAUAUAGCCACCAACAAGGAGUAUCCUUUUCAAUUACUGCUGUCUCUGAACAUGUAUAGUUUAAUAGCUAUAUCAUGCCUUGGUGUGGCACUCACCACCUAUAAUUGCUCUAUCAGGUUCUGCAAAUAGACCAUCAAAGAAACGAUCCUGGUUACUGGGGCCAUGGAUUAGGAGGCUGUAAUGGCGAACUGCAUUCACAACUUUUCAUAUCAUAGAUGAAGAGGCAACCUGAAUGUAAUAUUCUUUUGCCAUAAGAUUUAAGAAAUAGGACCAGGAGCUAGGACAGUCAAUAAUGGUGGGCAAUCAUGAGAGGAGUGAGCACUGGUAAUAAGAGAUCCUAUUCAUCAGAGGCAAGUGGAGUAGUGAAGUGCAAGACAUUUGAUUUAGAAGGGCAAUAAAAAAUUGUGACCGGACCUGUGUAUGGAAUUUGUGAGUUGGUAAUUGUGACAGCCCGAUGUCAGUUUUGCAAAAGCAUCCUCACUGUAUUGGUAAUGCUUGAUCUCUGUGAAAUAGUGUUUGCACACUUCAGGCUUCUAAUAUAUCUAUAGAAUCAAACGAUGUUUCAUGUCUUCCUCUCAUGUGAUCAUAAUUCAUUUUGUACUCGGGUUAUUUAUUAGUUCUCAAAAGCUCAAUAAUCUGCUUUGGCCAACUGACCUUUUUUAUUCUUCAUAUGUGUUGUUUGCUUCUGUUGAAAACAAAGCCAACUCAGCAUAGUGUUCAUGGUUUUAGGGGACUCGGUCUCACCCCAAAUAUUUUUAGCAGCACCUCCGGUAAACUGUAAGCUGAUUGCAAGUUCCACAAGACUCUUUUUGGAUUUGUAAACUACAAGCACUACCAUUCAAGUAAUGUAAAUUGUCCCCCAAUUCAGGAUCCUUGCUUGGAAGCUUUAGCUGCUGAUCAAAGUAUUGCCUGCAAAGCACAAUUGUCCUACUACUACUAAACUGAGAGAAGGGAAAAUGGCAACACAAGGCUGGUGUGCAGAUAGGUUAGGGGACUGGUUGAAGAGAAAUCCAACUAAAGGUCCAAAGGAUUGCAAGGACAAAUUAGAGGGGGGCUAUGGUAUCAAGCUCAAGUACUUCAAAGUAUGGUCUGGUAUGAAAGUAGCACUAGAGAAGAUCCAUGGACAGUAUGAGGAGAGUUUUCAGCUUCUUUUCAACUGGAAAGCUCAUAUUGAACAGUCAUCACCUGGCAGCAUAAUAUAGAUAGAGUUAGAAAGGGUUCAGAAGAAGCAAAUGUUUAGGAGGAUUUUUGUAGCUCUUAGACCAUGUAUUGAUGGAUUCCUAGAGCGAUGCAGGGCAUUCAUAGGUGUUGAUGCAUCCAAUUUGAAUGGCAAGUAUAGAGGAUAGUUGGCAUCUGCAACUGGUGUAGAUGGGCACAAUUGGCUUUAUCACAUUGCAUAUGCAAUUUUUUAUAAAGAGAAUGAAGACAACUAGGUUUGGUUCAUGGAACAACUGCACAAAGCCAUUGGAACCUAGUUAUUUGCACAGAUGCCUAUAAAGGUUUAGAGAUGGCAGUAGGAGCUGUAUUCCCACAAGCUAAAAAUAGGGAGUGCAUGAGACACCUGACCAGAAUUUUAUGAAGCAGUAUACAUGUGAUGUCUUCACUAAUCACUUGUAUCCAGCUGCUAGGAGCUACACAACUGGAAUGUUCCAGGGGCACAUGAAGAAAAUAUUUCAGUUUGCACCUGACACAGUAGAGUAUCUUGAGACACACCACAGUAGAAUAUGGUACAAAUGUGGGUUCUCUGAAAACAACAAGUGUGAUUACUUGACUAAUAAUGUGUCAGAGAGUUUCAAUGCUCAAAUAAAGAAGUUCAAGGGUUUGUUGUUGCAUGAACUAGUGGAGAAGCUGAGGGAGCUAAUAAUGGAGAAGAGGUACUUGAGAAAGAAAUUGGCUAGGUAGUGGCUAGAAGAAGGAAUUCUACCUAAUGUCAUGAAAGAUUUGAAUCUGAUUAGCAACCAUCUCAAGGUCAUAAAAGUGACAGUGAGUGAUGAUUAUAUAGCUGAGGUUACCCUUUUGGACCAAUGAAACAACCAGAAAAGGCAUACAGUAGACCUGCAGAAUCACAACUGUUCUUGCAGGGAGUGGCAAGUAAUUGGGAAGACAUGUAGACAUGCUCCUGGAUAUUGUCCAAUAGAGGGAUAAAAAUUGAAGACUCAGUGGCUAGGUUUAAGAAAGCUUAUGAAGCCAAAAUUGAAGGAAUAUCUGAUAGGUCCCAGUGGCCUGAAGUGAAUCUUGGUUUCAAAGUGCAUCCACCAUUAUUGGGUAAAGGACCAGGGAGGCCAAAGGUGCAAAAGGAUUAGAGGCUGCCUGGAAAAAAGGGCCACAAAGAAAAAGGUUAAAUGCAAUAGAUGUGGUGCGCUAGGCAAUUUCGCAAAAAACAUGCAAAGAUGCAGAGGUUGGUGAAGAUGGUGAAAGAGGGAUAAACAGGAACAAAAGAAAGAAGUCCACCCAAGAUGAUGCUGGCCCCUCACACGUGAAGAAACUGAAGAACCAAAAGAAAAAGAAGGGUACCCCAAAAAGAAGAAGACCCCUGUAAAGAAGAGAUGGAAGAGGGCAGAGGAAAACCCAGCUCCCACUAUUGUGACUAGCAUCAGAAAACUUGUAUUUGAAGGCCAGUCUACUUGAGAGUGUUGUGUUAUAUGCUCUCUACUGCUUUUGGGACAACAACUUGCAAGGUUAUGUCAUGCUUUUGGGCACAAAAACUUGUAAUGUGUCUCCUCGUGCUUUUGGCCACAAGAACUUGUAAUGUUUGUGAUCUGGGUACUAGAAUUAUGUUUGUGAUUUGGGUACUAGAAUUUCUAUGAAAUAUUUGUGAAAUGGUUGUGAGAGAA